AGUCAUAUUCACUGGAGCUGUAGAGCACUGACUGUAGGACAACUGAACCUGUAAGGACUGGAGAAUACAGACAGUCAAUCGCUUGUGUGCUGCAAAUCAAGUUUAGAAUGAUUGUAACGUUAAUAUCUUGUGAACAUUAUAUUUCAUGUGGGAAAAAAAUUGAAACUGGUUAUUUAAGGCGCUUCUUUGUACACAUCAUAGUAUUGGAAGAGUAAGGUGGAAUAUAAUUAUGUAUAAUUAUGAAAAGACGGUAUCAUAUUAUGUGACAGGCUCUGGGAGCAGAUUUUGGUAUCAAGAUUUAUAGGCUACAGUCAAGAGUAUAAUUAUGACAGAGAGAGUAUCGAACGUAGGCAUACUGUGCAUCAGAUGUAUGCUGAGAGUAACGUGACUUCCUGUAUCUGAAAGUAGAUUACAUCACCCACGCUUAGAUUGGUCAGUGUGCAAAUUCCAAGCUUGUGACAGGUCACGUUACUCUCCGCAUACAUCUGAUGUACAGUAUGCCUACGUUCGAUACUCUCUUCUCUAUCAUACAUACAUGUAGUACAUGUAUUACUUGCUACAGUGUAUAAUCUCAUAAAAAAAUAUUUUUUCUAAUGUUAUCUACAGUCUUGCUACUACCUCUCUGCAAAAUCUGAUGCUCUGAAUCCAAAUAAAGUACUUUGUCUAAGCAGCCACCAUUACCUUACUUUCCCCAAUUUAGCAAUCUUUGAGUGGGCAUUUCUCAAUACUGCUGUUUUACAGCUUCGAGUUUCCAACGCGCAUAACUCAGGAAUGGAACGAGAACAAGGUGUUCUCACAUGAUUCAGAGGAACGGUACGUAACCAACAACCGCCCACCUUCCCCCGGCUCUGUCACUGACUACUAUCUCCCCAGACAGAAACGGAAGAGAUAUCGACACUCAAUCCUCAGGAGCUCAACUCUCUGGCCUCUGCUCCAGUUAGUCAAAGGAAGACAAACGUUCUGAGAGUGUUUGUGUCAAAGUGAGAGCAAAAUCUAUCGACUCCGGACGUGUUCUUCGCCAAUCCCAGCUUAGAGGAAGCACUAAAGAAUAAGACAUUGGACACCAAUUUGACAAAGUGGUUCAUUUGCCAUGCAACCACCAGCCAAAAUAUCUACUCCACCAAUACCAACAGCGUACCAACAACAAUACUGUGGCAUAAUUAUGAGAGCAGGACUCCCUCUGCUGCCACCCCCUCAGCCACGCUCUCACAGGAAGCAGGUCCUCAGAUAGUACAAAAGUCAACAAGUAUGAGAGCCCAAAGGCACUCUUGGAGACAGUGACACAGUGGCAGCGUGUGCUACAGGAGAUGGUAGAUCACCAACGUAGAGCCGGGAGUCCAUCGAGGAUGAUUAGGCGUA